GAGCCCACUUUGGCAGCACUUAUACCCAAAGUGGAACGAUACAGAGAUUAGUGUGGCCCCUGAGCAAGGAUGACACGAAAAUUCAUGAACGUCUCCGUACUUUU
rnacentral:snRNA from 1 species